ACCUAUCAGAACCCAAUAGUUUUGGUGGAACAAAUUGAAGAUGGUAAAGAAAUACCAGGGCUUAAAAAAUCCUUGGUUAAAAUGCUUAAAGAUUACAGCUUGCAGGCUUCCGUAGAAGAGAGUUUUAAAAAGAUUUUGCUAUCUGAUUAUUUUAAUUUACACGAGAAAUUGGUAAAUUUGCAGCAGAGGGGUAUUCCUGUCACAGAUGAAGUGUUUUGUGGGGCAUGUCAUCGAAAAAUAAUUACUCGAGAUUUGUCAGGAAAUAAUAACGUAAUAGUUUUUAACUGUAAACAUGGUUUCCACGAACUUUGUAUACCGGACUCUGUGGACUUUACCAGUUGUACUAUUUGCUAUCCAACCAAAAUGAAAUAACAGCUAAUUGAAAAUGUUUUCAUUUUUAAUAUGGAUUUUCACCCGUUUCUGUUUCGGUUUGUGGUUCUGGUUCCUGUUUAGGUGCUUCCUGUUCCUCUUUAGGUGCUUCCUGUUCCUCUUUAGGUGCUUCCUGUUGUUGUUGUUCUUCUUCUUCCUUUGAUUCAGGAGGUACUUCAUCCAUUCCUUCUUCUUGUAUUUCUGGUUGUUUAUUAUCCUCGACUUUCUCUUCUUCUUCCUCCUCAAAACAUUCGCAUAUCUCCUCACAAAUGCAAGAAGCUGCGGAUUCUUCUCAAAAACAAGUUUAUGUAUUUUUAUAACAUUUUUACAAAUAGAUUUAUUAU